UGAGGAAUAUUGGUCAAUGGACGGAAGUCUGAACCAGCCAUGCCGCGUGAAGGAUGAAGGCGUUCUGCGUUGUAAACUUCUUUUAUCUGAGAAGAAAUGAUUCUAUUCUUAGGAUUUUGACGGUAUCAGAUGAAUAAGCACCGGCUAACUCCGUGCCAGCAGCCGCGGUAAUACGGAGGGUGCAAGCGUUAUCCGGAUGUACUGGGUUUAAAGGGUGCGUAGGCGGUCUAUUAAGUCAGUGGUGAAAUCUCCGAGCUCAACUUGGAAACUGCCAUUGAUACUAUUAUACUUGAAUUAUGUUGAGGUUGGCGGAAUAUAACAUGUAGCGGUGAAAUGCAUAGAUAUGUUAUAGAACACCGAUUGCGAAGGCAGCUGGCUAAACAUAUAUUGACGCUGAUGCACGAAAGCGUGGGUAGCAAACA
rnacentral:rRNA from 1 species